rnacentral:lncRNA from 1 species
CGCCUAUUAUCUGCUACCUUUCCGCAUGCUCACACACACCGGAUGGUCGGUCUCCCCAGGGAGAAAUCGUUCCGGACUGGUAGCAGAUGACAGACGGUUGAAAUAUUGAACGGAUUUUGGUCCGGCGGAGUGUUUCAUUGUUUCUUGGAUGGCGAGCAGAGCCUACUCGGAGUCUAGCCAGGAGUGACGAUGGUUCUGUUGAUUCGAUAACAGGAUAGAAGAGGUAACAUAGUAGGCCUAGAUUGACGUGGAACUGAACCAGAGCGUGAUGGAUUGUUUGUGUUUACUGUGAUGGGAUAGUUUGUGCAUGUGAUCAUUGAUGGUGACUUUUGAAUCAAUUAGGCUGUGAGUUCGUGUGAAUUUAUCAUAAAGGACGAUUCAACGGUGGAGGAAGGUCGAGUGGCAUCUUGUCUGAUUUUGGGAGAAAACGGUUUCAUUCUUGACGACGCUUAAGAGGUGCUCUCUUGCCUCUAUUCAAAUAGCUUUUUCAUGCUUCUCGAGGAUGUUGAAAAUCAGUGCAUUCAAAUCAAGAAAUCCUUUCACAGAUCAUUUGAUUCGCAAUUUAGCAGGAAACGAUCUGUUAUUAUUUUAUAUUUACAUUAAUAAAAACAAGCAAUAAGAAAAUCAAAAUUGAUACUUCUUAUUGUUCUUUAACAAAGUACAUUUCACUAAAAAAAAUAUUUUUUCUCCCAGUGAGGACUUCCAACAGCGUUGCACGUACUGUCCCACGGAGAGUUCCCCACCGGCAGCCUGUCCACCGGAUUGUUUCUGCAAACGGCCACCAGAUGACACCCCGGAUCGAGUCUAAAGAAGUGAAAAUUCGAUCGAUUCUGCACACUGGUCUGUUUAGCAGCGACUUUAGGAAAAGUAACACACCUAUCUCCAUGUAACUGCAGCUGUUUUUCCCUCAUCGAUGUAAUACUGUAAAUUAACAAGCAAAUCAUCAAAAUUAUGGCAAUCUUAAGCAUAAUAACUCUUACUUACUGUUAAAUAAAAUGAACGAACGCGUUGAAA